AUAUAGUGCACACAAGGGGCAAUCACUCUUAUUGUUGAUGUAAAACUAGGUGAUUGCUUGUGAUUUAUAGUGCACACAAGGGGCAAUCACUCUUACUGGUGAUGUAAAACUAGGUGAUUGCUUGUGAUUUAUAGUGUACACAAGGGGCGAUCACUCUUACUGGUGAUGUAAAACUAGGUGAUUGCUUGUGAUUUAUAGUGCACACAAGGGGCAAUCACUCUUACUGGUGAUGUAAAACUACUGGUAGAUGAUAGCUUGUGAUUUAUAGUGCACACA